rnacentral:rRNA from 1 species
UACGUAGGGGGCUAGCGUUGUCCGGAAUCAUUGGGCGUAAAGCGCGCGUAGGCGGCCCGGUAAGUCCGCUGUAAAAGUCAAAGGCUCAACCUUUGAAUGUCAGUGGAUACUGCCGGGCUAGAGUCCGGAAGAGGCGAGUGGAACUCCUGGUGUAGCGGUGGAAUGCGCAGAUAUCAGGAAGAACACCGAUGGCGAAGGCAAUCCCCUGGGCCUGCACUGACGCUCAUGCACGAAAGCGUGGGGAGCAAACAGG